UACAGAGGGUGCAAGCGUUGUUCGGAAUUAUUGGGCGUAAAGCGCGUGUAGGCGGCUUUGCAAGUCGGAUGUGAAAUCCCUCGGCUCAACCGAGGAACUGCAUCCGAUACUGGCGGGCUUGAAUCCGGGAGAGGGAUGUGGAAUUCCAGGUGUAGCGGUGAAAUGCGUAGAUAUCUGGAGGAACACCGGUGGCGAAGGCGGCAUCCUGGACCGGUAUUGACGCUGAGGCGCGAAAGCUAGGGGAGCAAACGGGG
rnacentral:rRNA from 1 species